CUACAAACUUAAUUGGAUUGAGCCUUGGUAUGAAACUUACUAAGUGAUCACUUUCAAAUUCAGAGAAACCUAGAAUUAAAAAAAAUGGGCGAUCCCAAGCCAAAUCCUGUUUUCUAAAAACAAAUAAAGGUUCAGAAAAAAAGGAUAGGUGCAAAGACUCAAUGGAAUGGAGUUAAAUGUGUUCGUAGAGGACUCUUUACAGCGAAACUUCAG
rnacentral:ncRNA from 1 species